AGAUUCAGAGCGGUAAAGGUGAAGACAGAAAGAGAAAACAAAAUAUUGUGUACGGGAGGCGUAGAAGGGGAACGGAAACUGAGAUUCCUGGGUAGCAUACCCUCCGCUCGUUUCUUCUUGAACGCUGGCGCUGCCGCAGGAAGGAUGCCGGAUCAGGACUCCCCGCAGAUGGUCGGCGCUCCACUUUGCGGGUGCCGAGGCCGACCUCCGCUAGCGUAGGCUCCUUCCGACCUGGGGAGGAGUUUGGUGCUGGAGUUGCUGUGGACGCCCUCGUCCGUUGCAGAGUAGCCAGCCAGCUAGGAGGCGCCAGAGUAGCCAGCCGGCUAGGAGGCGCUAUUUGAGCGAGGCGUUGCGUCAGUGAAAAGAAGCCUGGAGUUGCAAACGUUUAACUGGACUGUUAGCUUCUCUUUCCCCAUUCCUUUCCUCUGCCGGGGCCUCAGCGGAGAGAAAUUUGAGCACGAGGCGGAGGGCCUGGUUCCGCCGCGGCGUGCUGGGAGGAAUCCGGUCGUUUCUCCUCUCUGUGUUUUGUUGUGGGUGUGCGUGGAGGCAGAGGAGGUGGGUUCCUCCAUGGCGGUACGAGCCUUCGUCGCCGCCAUGAUGGGAGGGAACGCGAAUACAUGGAUUUGGCUCGUUUUGAUGUGAGGCGAUUCUGAUCCUCUACUUCCGAUGGUGGAGUAAUAGCUGAAUGCUAUAAACCUACUCACGGAUCACCAUUAGCAAAGCACCAAUCUCAGAAUCAUACUUCGGUGUUCUACCAUUUUUUUUCUAAUGACCUAAAUCUUCUUAUCUGAAUCGUAGCAUUACACAAGGUGUUAGCCUAUGUAUGGCUUCAUUUUAGUUGGUAAUCUAUUGUGUGUACAGAGCAUACGGUUGCGUACGCAUCUUAUUUUUUGUCAUUAAAUUGAAUUGCUUGCAGUUUUCUUGAAUAGUCUGAAUAGACCUAGUGAUCAUUUUUUGUUGUUGCUGUUAGUGGUAUGGAUGUUAGUGUCAGGUGUAUGGACUAGACUUAAUGAUGGAAGUUUCAGUACUAGUAAGGUGGCUGCUGCUGUUGCUGUAUAAGAUGGUCGAUCAUUAGCCACACAGAAGACUGUUGACGGACCCUCGAGCAAGGACAUGAGAGGUGGGAGGGCUGCAAUCUUCAACAUCAUUCCCAGCAGCACCGGCGCUUCCAAGGUUUUGGUGGAGAUAGCUGCUGGUGGUGUUUUCUGUUGCCAUAUUUAACCAAGCCAACGCGUCGCUGCUUCCACAGCUGCAUGUACACAUGCUCCAUGGUGCUACACUACCACCAAAUCAGAUUCCGGCAGUAGGUUGUUAUCAUUUUCCCGCUCUAAUCGGGAGUGCUGGCUGAUUGAAGGGUUAUCUAGUUAUAGUUCUUCGUUUUUUCAGUGGCUUCGGCCCUUUCCACGCAGAAAUCGUAUAAGUUGGACAUGUAUUUCUUCGCUGUGAUAGGCAAUAUUUCCAGAGAGAUCUCAGGAAUUUCUAGUCCCCCUGUGUAUGUCUCUUAUCAUUGUGGAUCCUGAGCUAACAAUGAUCGUGAGUUGUAGUCUACCAAGCAAGCCACAGGAGGAGCAACUGCUGUAGCGGAUCAAGAAUGAUGCAGAUAGAGGUACUGGAAAGGAGAAGGUGCGUCAGGGUGAGGAACCUGUGCACAGAGUGAAGAAGAUCCAUAAGUUAGUCCAUCUAGACCUGCCUUCUUCAAUUUGAUGCAGGUGCUUUGCGUGGGAAGGAAGAAGAGAGAUGCUGACGGUGUGGUAGAGUUACCAACGAAUAGGAGGACCACCAUUUUGUUGUUCGUGUGUAAGGCCUAAAAACAGGAAGAUGUAGCAAUACUAGGCUUUCCCUUCUUAGUCAAUUUCAUUAACAUAGGCGUGAAUUAAAUGAGUUGGGUGUUGUAUCUAUUGGAAAAACAAGACAAGAAAACCGGACUGAACUGAAAUAACAGUUUUUUUUCUGACA